rnacentral:rRNA from 1 species
AACGAACGCUGGCGGCAUGCCUAACACAUGCAAGUCGAACGAGACCUUCGGGUCUAGUGGCGCACGGGUGCGUAACGCGUGGGAACCUGCCCUUAGGUUCGGAAUAACUCCCCGAAAGGGGUGCUAAUACCGGAUAAUGUCUUCGGACCAAAGAUUUAUCGCCUUUGGAUGGGCCCGCGUUGGAUUAGCUAGUUGGUAGGGUAAAAGCCUACCAAGGCGACGAUCCAUAGCUGGUCGGAGAGGAUGAUCAGCCACACUGGGACUGAGACACGGCCCAGACUCCUACGGGAGGCAGCAGUGGGGAAUAUUGGACAAUGGGGGAAAGCCUGAUCCAGCAAUGCCGCGUGAGUGAUGAAGGCCUUAGGGUUGUAAAGCUCUUUUACCCGGGAUGAUAAUGACAGUACCGGGAGAAUAAGCACCGGCUAACUCCGUG